rnacentral:rRNA from 1 species
AGUGAACGCUGGCGGUAGGCCUAACACAUGCGAGUCGAACGGCAGCACAGUAAGAGCUUGCUCUUACGGGUGGCGAGUGGCGGACGGGUGAGGAAUACAUCGGAAUCUACUUUUUCGUGGGGGAUAACGUAGGGAAACUUACGCUAAUACCGCAUACGACCUACGGGUGAAAGCAGGGGAUCUUCGGACCUUGCGCGAUUGAAUGAGCCGAUGUCGGAUUAGCUAGUUGGCGGGGUAAAGGCCCACCAAGGCGACGAUCCGUAGCUGGUCUGAGAGGAUGAUCAGCCACACUGGAACUGAGACACGGUCCAGACUCCUACGGGAGGCAGCAGUGGGGAAUAUUGGACAAUGGGCGCAAGCCUGAUCCAGCCAUACCGCGUGGGUGAAGAAGGCCUUCGGGUUGUAAAGCCCUUUUGUUGGGAAAGAAAAGCAGCAGGUUAAUACCCCGCUGCUCUGACGGUACCCAAAGAACAAGCACCGGCUAACUUCGUG